AGGGAAUAUUGCAUAAUGGGCGAAAGCCUGAUGCAGCAACGCCGCGUGUGCGAUGAAGGCCUUCGGGUCGUAAAGCACUUUUAGAGAGGAUGAGGAAGGACAGUACUCUCUGAAUAAGCCUCGGCUAACUACGUGCCAGCAGCCGCGGUAAAACGUAGGAGGCGAGCGUUAUCCGGAUUUACUGGGCGUAAAGCGCGUGCAGGCGGUAAGGAAAGUUGGAUGUGAAAGCUCCCGGCUUAACUGGGAGAGGUCGUUCAAAACUACCUAACUAGAGUAUGGAAGAGGGAAGUGGAAUUCCGGGUGUAGUGGUGAAAUGCGUAGAUAUCCGGAGGAACACCAGUGGCGAAAGCGGCUUCCUGGUCCAAGACUGACGCUCAGACGCGAAAGCUAGGGUAGCAAACG
rnacentral:rRNA from 1 species